CAGUAGCCGCGGGAAUACGAGGGGGGCAAGCGUUGUUCGGAAUUAUUGGGCGUAAAGGGUGCGUAGGCGGUUUGGCAAGUCUUGUGUGAAAUCUUCGGGCUCAACCCGAAGCCUGCACGAGAAACUGCCGGGCUUGAGUAUUGGAGAGGUGAGUGGAAUUUCCGGUGUAGCGGUGAAAUGCGUAGAUAUCGGAAGGAACACCUGUGGCGAAAGCGGCUCACUGGACAAUAACUGACGCUGAUGCACGAAAGCUAGGGGAGCAAACAGGAUUAGAGACCCCAGUAGUCCCUGUCUCUUAUAC
rnacentral:rRNA from 1 species